rnacentral:piRNA from 1 species
UGGCCAAGAUGGUGAGUGUUCAUUUCAG